ACCUGGCUGGCUCAGUUGGUAGAGUAUAAGACUCUUGACCUUGGGGUCAUGAAUUUGAGCUCCAUGUUGAGUG
rnacentral:tRNA from 1 species